AUUAUGGCUCAGAUUGAACGCUGGCGGCGUGCUUAACACAUGCAAGUCGCGCGUGAAAGGACUUCGGUCCGAGUAAAGCGGCGCACGGGUGAGUAACGCGUGGAUGAUCUACCCAUGAGUUAGGAAUAACGGCUGGAAACGGUCGCUAAUACCAAAUACGCUCCGAUUUCAACUUCGGGGGAAAGGUGGCCUCUGCUUGCAAGCUACUGCUCAUGGAUGAGUCCGCGUCCCAUUAGCUAGUUGGUGGGGUAACGGCCCACCAAGGCGACGAUGGGUAGCCGGUCUGAGAGGAUGACCGGCCACACUGGGACUGGAACACGGCCCAGACUCCUACGGGAGGCAGCAGUGGGGAAUAUUGCGCAAUGGGCGAAAGCCUGACGCAGCGACGCCGCGUGAGGGAUGAAAGGUCCUCGGAUCGCAAACCUCUGUCAGGAGGGAAGAACCGCCACGGUGCUAAUCAGCCGUGGUCUGACGGUACCUCCAAAGGAAGCACCGGCUAACUCCGUGCCAGCCGCUGC
rnacentral:rRNA from 1 species